GACAGUGCGGUGCUGUGCCCGUGCCCUUGGGUCACGCCGAGGCCGCGUGGACGGCGCUGUGCCCGUACCGGUCCACGCCGAGGCCGCAGUGGUCCAGCACGCCAGUCGAGCCACGUUGCUGACCCGAGGACGUCAGCCUCGUCUGUCCCCCGUGUGGGCCGGGCCCCGGCCACGGGCCUUCCCUGGCACCCUACUGUCCCCGGGCCAGGCCUUCCCGGAGCAGCUCCCAGCCUGCCCGAGCCUCACGGCACAGCCUGCUCCGGCCACUCUCACAAGGACUUUCCAUUUCUGCCCGGGCACCACAGCUUCCUGCAGACCCUAGGUCGGGGUCUACACCCUACCCAGAUCUCGAGCCAUCGAAGUUCACACCCACCUCGUGUCACAUGACCAACCCCACAAAGUGAGACUGAGGUCUCCGACCCCAAGUCCCCAGGGGUCCUCUGUGUGCACCAAGCGAGGCCCGAGGUUACCAAGGAGCCUGGUGGGUAGAAGAUUCUGGAAGUAACACUCACAAUAGGCUGCUGAUCCAGAACUGUUCUUUCCAAGUCCCCUUGUUCCCAGAACUCAGCCGCCACCAACAGAGCAACCUUGGGAGGCUUCCUCUCCCUGGUCUCCCGAGGCAGGGGCCCUGCAUGACUUCUGACCUUGCUCUGGACUUCCCAGGGCUUGGUGAUGGCAGACAGGUCACACGCCGUCAUCAUCAUGGCCCUGCGGGCAGACGAAGCUCCAGAGCGCUGCUGGCCCCCUCCCACCCCUCCACGGCCACCUCGCACUCCCCCCACUGCAGGCCUCACCCUCGUGCUCCCCCCCUACCCCGGCAACCAGGUAUUUAUCAGGCAGCCUCCCUGUGGACCUCGGGGGCAGGCCUGCAGCGGGACCCAAGUCCUGAAUCCCCGUAUCGUGGUGCAUCAGCGGAGGUUCAUAAAUUCUUAGACUCAUCCACGAUCUUCUGGAACAUUGUCCUCUUCCUGAACCCCAAGAACAAAGAGUCGACGCCCCGCCCCCUUCCUCCUCGACCCUCACCCAAGCACCCUUCUAGGAGAGAAACCGAGGCAGAGAGCCCAGGUCUGUGGGGCCCCUGCUCCCCACCGCAGCCCCCCGCGGCUCCUGGCUGCCCCCACAGGGAGGCGGGGGGGGGGGCACCCACUUGAAGUAGAGUGCCAGGUCGGUGGCGAUGAUGGCUAUGUCCAUGAGGUGGAUCACGUGCUCGUGCUGCCGCCGGUUCAGGUUCUGGUAGAUGUUCAGGGUCUGCGGGGAGGGCUUUGGUCGCGGUGCGGGCCGGUCUGCCCCCCUCCCGGGUCCGCCCGUGGGUCCCUGUCGGCCCGGCUCCUACCCCAGGUCGUGGCACCGCCCCCGGGGGGCCCAGGGGACCCAGGUGGCCUCGGGCUGGCGCUGGGAGGCGCUCGGCCCCCACCGCUGCCUGAGACUGGGGUGCACCCCCCUCCCUGCGGGUGUCAAAUCCAACCCACCGCCCUGACCCCACUGCAGCCCCCGACGGGCCUCGGAGGCCGCUCAGAACUCAGAACCCUGUGCUGUCGUCGCUGGGCCAGGGGGCG